rnacentral:lncRNA from 10 species
AGGGAGCUGCCUGGGAAGCAGAGACCCACCUCUGCCCUCCCCACAGUGCCAGGUUCAACAUGAGGGAUGGAAACAGAUGCAGAGAGGUAAAGCGAAGUGUCUGGGGCACACAGCCAAGAAGUGACCCAGUGCAGCCUUGAAGCCAGGUCUUCUGACUCCAGGAGGACUCACCUUUCCCAAUUAGCCUUCUCUGAAGGCCACUUGAGUCUCUCUGCUGGACCCACUCACUCUUCCCUGUCUCAGAACACUCAUCUCUGCACUCCUUGCUCUGGCAACACUGAACACCCUGCAGUGUCUCAAUCCUGUGACACCUCACUCACCUCACUCACCUCCAGGCCUUACCCAUGUCAUCUCCUCACCUGGAGCCCUCUCCCUGCUUCUCUUCACCUGGAUACCAACUUCUAGUCAUCCUGUGAAUCUCAGCCUCUCAGAAGGCCCGUUCUUCCAGGAAGUCUUCCUGAUUGACUGCCAGUCAGCCACCCCCUCUCUGUGUUCCCACAGACCACGUGUCAAUCCGUAUUUAAUCCUCUUUACCUGCACUGCACCCCCAUGUUCUAAGAUCCAUAAGGACAAAGAGAGACAUUUAACUCACAAAACACCCCUGAACGAUGGGUGUCAUCACCCCCAUUAUGGGGGCUCAGCUUAUCGGGCUCAGCCUGGGCUUUGGGUUCAAGCUAGUCUUACUCUAGAGCCAGAGGGGCCCCUCACUCAUGCCAUGCAGAGGCCCAGUGCCCACUUCUCCUCUGCACUCUUCACCCUCCACUGGGCACCCAGCAGGGGGGUUCUGGUGUGGGUCCUUCAGAACCACCCAUCCUCUUGUCUAAGGGUCUCUCUUCUGCAGACCCCAUGACUUGGGCCACACCUCCUCUGACUGACCCCAUGGGACCUCCCCCUCAGCCCCUCCUCUGACUGACCCUGUGGGACCUCCCCCGCUGAGCCCCCAGGCUUCCAGUGCGUAACUCUACCCUUAAUGUAGAGUCUCUCUCAGGACCACCCAGUUGGGCUUCCUCCCUAGGGCAGAACAGGCCCCCAAAAUCCACACAUCCUUUGCAUCCCUGGACACUGCAAGUACGAGUCAGAGCCUCAGCCCCUCACCCUGACAUUCAGGUCCUUGCCCACCUUUUCCUUCUUCCUCUUCUUUUCUACUCAAGCCUCAGCAAAAUGAGAACAGGUCACAGCUACUAAGCAAUUUUUGGCACUCCAGGCACUGCUCUGGCCUCCUUAUGCAUUUCAACCCAUCGACUCUUCACAAUACCCAGUGAGGGAGUUACAGCUUCUCUCCCCAUUUUAUAGAUGGUCGCAUAGCAAGGAAGGGGCAAGGCUGGGAUUUGAACCCGGAGCCCAGAGGCUUAUCUCCUCUACUACAUGACCUACCUGGUGAAGCCCAACUACACUGCAGCCUCGCCCACCUCCCCUCAUCUGACGAUGCCAUUCCUUCCGUCAGAAUCUUCCCUCUUUGUCCUCCUUGGCUGGCUGGUUCCUCCUUGUCCUUCCAGGUUAAGUUCCUCCAUGCUACUUGACAAAGCUCCCCGGUCCUGCUCAGUACCCCACACCCUUUGUACAGGCCUCUGGCAUUUAUUUCCCCUGUAGAUUGCAAACUCCCUAAGGGCAGGGAUGGUGCCCUCUGACAUGGGCUCUGCGUCCCCAGCUCCUGAAGCCAGGCCUGGAAGGCAAGAGAUGCUCAGUAAAUAUUUAGUGAAUGAGCCGCUGAGUGAAUGAGCAAAGGGGCCCGACUCUCGAUUUUCCAAUUUGGAAAGCUUGCUGCUCUCCAGGACAAAGACUUCACAUCACUCAUGGAUAUAAAUCGACAGUUUCAAAGGCUUAAUCCUUCCACACUUACUGCAAACCCAUACACACAUGAAAAUAAAUAAGUUUCUUUUCUAGGAGGAAAAAGAAAGCUUUUUCAUGGCAUCAUAAAAACAACGGUUUAUUUUUCAUCUCCCAGAGUCUGUCUGGGUUUAGUUAUGCUCUGGAGCCCGCGAAAGACUCUGAGCUAACACUUACUUGAAAAAUUACUGUCUCCACGGCUGCCCAAGGCGCGUGGAAGGAGUAGAAAUUUCUCUGUGUGUCCAUCUGUGUGUGUCCAAGGGUUAUCAAUCAACCUCAGAAUGGGGCCUGUGUGGGUGGGGUGGCUCUGUCAUCCACAGUAAAUGGCAAACAGAUUUGGUGAAAGAGAGGACAUGUAGGCAGGGGAGCUGGAAACGAUGGAGAGGAAAAAACACGCAUACAUUUUCAAGAUGCUUAAACCUAUUAUUAGGACCCAAGGAGUUCCAAUGCCCUUAAAGUGGAGCAGUUGCAAGUCUAUGCUGUCUUUUCCUGGGUCCGUCAAUAACCACUAAACUCAGAUGGAGAUUCUAAGUGCAUUCAUUCAUGCAUGCACGCAUGCAUUCUGACAUGGGCAUUAAUGCUGCCCCCAUAAUACUUGCCCCCUCUGCCUGCUGGGCACACCAGGGUGAAUAUUCUAGCCCCCUGUGCAUUCAGCUGGGGAGCUAGAAUAACUAGACUAACUCUGGCCAAUAACUAACUCCGGUCAGUGAAUUUGAGUGGAAAUGAUGAACGUCACUUCUGGGUUGGGGCAUUGAAUUGCCAGUGUGAGACCCUUGGGAGAUCCAUCCAUAUUGGAGUUGGUGGCCACUCUGCUGGCCUGGACUCGGAGUGACGAGAUAAGGGGCAGCAGCACCAGCCACUAGGAUGGAUGUGGCAUGAGUGAGAAAAAGUUGUGUCGCUGUAAGACAACAAAAGAUCUGGGUGUUGUUGUUGCUUGUUACUGCAGCAUAAUCUAGCCUACCCAGACUAAUACCAAGUAAUCAACUGACCCCAAAUCCAGAGGCCUUCAGCUUCAGUCCUGGUUCCUAUGACAUAUUAGUAAAGCAUUGUUGAGUAAGUCUCUGAGCUUGAGUCCCCCCAGCUGUAAAAUGGGGAUAACAGCAAAACCUUCCUCUCUGAGCAUCUGCACCAAAUGAAAAGCACUUCUGCUGUCCCUUUCCUGUACCUGGGUCCCUACCCCAUCCUCUCCUUUCUACCCUGGAGUCUCCACAACAAGAGCAGUUCACAGUCCUGGCAUGAGACAAACAAGAAAAAGAAACAUCGGCUUCCUUCACCAAACACCAGCCCCAGAGCAGACACAUGGCUACUGCAUGUUUUCCACUGGAGGAACCCGUCACCCAGCCCAGCCCCAGAACUGACACCUACCGAACAGUUAGCCCCUCAGGAAUGUGAGUUUUUUCAGUGUAUAGGCCAUGUAUGUCUAUGAAGCUUUGCAAAGAGAAAGAGGGGCAGCACGCUGUCUUCGUCAGCUCAAGCUGCCAUAGCAAAAUACCAAAGGCUAGGUGGCUUCAACAACAGACAUUUAUUUUGCACAAUUCUAGAGGCUGGAAAAUCCAAGAUUAAGGUGCCAGCCAAUUGCAUCCCAGUGAGGGCUCUCUUCCUGGUUUGCAGACAUUCCGUCCUCUUGUUGUAUCCCCCCAAGGCAAGAGAGCCAGCUGUCUGGUGUCUCUUGUUAUAAGAACAUUAAUCCUGUCACAGCAGAUCUCCACUCACAUGACCUCAUCUAACCCUAAUUAUCUCCCAAAGGUCCCAUCUCCAAAUACCAUCACAUUAGGGGUUAGAUUGCUGACAAACGAACUGGGGGCAGGAGGACACAAUUCAGCCCAUGCUAAAUGCAUAGCAUGACUCAUGAAAUCUCUGAAACAAUUACCAUCUGCCCAGCACUUUACAGUUUACAAUGCACCUCCCAUACAUCAACACAUUGGAUAUCCGGAAUCAGCCUGUGACGAAGGCCUUGUAGGUGAGGAGAUAGAGACAUAUAAAAUCUAAGCAGUGGGGCCCAAAUUUACUCAGCAGGAGGUCAAAAACCCAGGAUUCAAGCCCAGAUCUUCUGCCUCCCAAGCACACUCUCCCUUCUUUACACUAAACUGCAAAACCUAAUACGGCCAUUAUUCAAAUAACCAGGGGCUGGGAGUGGGCCAUGAACGACCUAGCAGAUGAGUGAGGUGGGCAUGACGGUUCAGUUCAAGGGCUCUGGACAGGCAGCCCUGAGUUCCAGUCCUGGCUCAGGCUGCUGCCUGUGUUCUGACCCUGGGCAAGUCAUUUACCUCCAAGCUCAGUCCUCCACCUGUAACACUGAGGUCACCAUUGUUCCUACCCUACAGGGUUGAUAUGGGGAUUCAGUGAGAUAAAGCAUGAGCUAAGCACAGAGCCCAGCACAAAGAAAGUCCUUGUAUUAGUCUGCUAGGGCUGCCUUGACAAAAUACCACAGGCAGGGUGGCUGAAGCAACAGAAGUUUAUUUUUCACAGUUCUGGAGGCUGGAAGUCCAAGGUGGAGGUGUCAGCAGGGUUGUUUCUUCUGAAUGUCUCUCCCCUUGGCUUACAGAUGACUGCCCUCCAGCCUCCUCUUCACCAUGUCCUCACAGGUCUUUCCCCUAUGUGAGCUCACGCCUGCUGUCUCUCCUCUUCUUUUUUUUUUUUUUUUUUUUGAGAUAGAGUCUCGCUCUGUUGCCGAGACUGGAGGGCAGUCGUGCAAUCUCGGCUCAUGGCAACCUCCACCUCCCAGGUUCAAGUGAUUCUC